UUGAUUAGAAUAACGUAGAUAAUUGUACACGAAUUUGAGUGAGCUAAUUAUAUUAGAUUUGUAGAUUAUUAACGUGUUGCAGAACGCUUUAAAAAUAUGAUUAGGGGUGAUAGGCUUCUCAAACUCAAGGAUAACUUGAUAACCUUGAAAAGUAAUAGUACUAAGAUAACUUUACAAUGAUUAGGUUUUAAAGCGGAUCGAAAUUUUGAAAGUCUACGGCAAAAUGUGUAAAUGUUAUUGCUUUAUCGUUUUACAAUUUUUUUAAUUAUAAUUGAUUUCGUUAGGGGUUUAUUAUUAAAUUGGAAAUUUAAUUGUUAAUGUUAAAAUUAGUAAUAUCAUAAAUGUAUUUCAUGAACUCGGCGAUAGAACCUUUAACUGUUUAUCAAAAACAUAGCCAAAAGUGUUUAUUUUUGGUGACUUCUGCUCAAUGAAUUUUAAAUAGCCGCAGUAACUUGACUGUGCUAAGGUAGCGCAAUCAAUUGACUUUUAAUUGAAGUCCUGUAUGAAAGAAUCUAUGGAGGUUAACUUUAUUAUUUGCAUGUCAUGAAUUUAUUUAUCAGGUGCAAAUACCUGUAAUUAAAUAAUAGACGAGAAGACCCUAGAAAUUUUUGAAAACUGUUUUUUGUUGGGGCAACAAAGUAGCAUUUAAUCUACUGUUUAUAACACGCAAAUCUUAUUUGGCGAGAUGAAAUUACUCUAGGGAUAACAGCAUAAUUUUUAAAAAGUUUGUGACCUCGAUGUUGGAUUAGGGAAAUAACGUUUAGAAG
rnacentral:rRNA from 1 species